rnacentral:tRNA from 1 species
GCGCGUGGCUUAGUGGUUAGGGUAUUCGAUUCACGAUCGUAAGGUCCCGAGUUCAAUUCCCGUCGGCGCA